GGCCUGGUAGUACAACCGGUUAGUGCAUCUGCGCACAGUAGGGCGGCAAAAAAUAUCGAAGCAGGAGAUCCCCGUUCGACUCAGGGUCAGGCCA